rnacentral:tRNA from 2 species
GUCCCCAUCGUCUAGAGGCCUAGGACAUCGCCCUUUCACGGCGAUAACAGGGGUUCGAAUCCCCUUGGGGAUACCA